UACGUAGGUGGCAAGCGUUGUCCGGAAUUAUUGGGCGUAAAGCGCGCGCAGGCGGUUCUUUAAGUCUGAUGUGAAAGCCCACGGCUCAACCGUGGAGGGUCAUUGGAAACUGGGGAACUUGAGUACAGAAGAGGAAAGCGGAAUUCCACGUGUAGCGGUGAAAUGCGUAGAGAUGUGGAGGAACACCAGUGGCGAAGGCGGCUUUCUGGUCUGUAACUGACGCUGAGGCGCGAAAGCUAGGGGAGCAAACGGG
rnacentral:rRNA from 1 species